rnacentral:tRNA from 1 species
UCCGCGGUAGCUCAGUCGGCAGAGCAAGUGGCUGUUAACCACUGGGUCCGGUGUUCGAAUCACCGCCGCGGAG